rnacentral:rRNA from 1 species
CCUACGGGGGGCAGCAGUAGGGAAUCUUUCACAAUGGGCGAAAGCCUGAUGGAGCAACGCCGCGUGCAGGAUGAAGGCCUUCGGGUUGUAAACUGCUUUUAUAAGCGAGAAAUAUGACGGUAACUUAUGAAUAAGGAUCGGCUAACUACGUGCCAGCAGCCGCGGUCAUACGUAGGCUGCGAGCAUUAUCCGGAGUGACUGGGUGUAAAGAGUUGCGUAGGUGGCAUAAUAAGUAGCUAGUGAAAUCUGGUGGCUCAACCAUUCAGACUAUUAGCUAAACUGUUAAGCUAGAGAAAGUUAGGGGUAAGUGGAAUUCCUGGUGUAGGAGUGAAAUCCGUAGAUAUUAGGAGGAACACCGAUGGCGUAGGCAGGUUACUGGAACGGUUCUGACGCUGAGGCACGAAAGCGUAGGGAGCAAACGGGAUUAGAUACCCGUGUAGUC